UCGGGAAUAUUGGGCAAUGGGCGAAAGCCUGACCCAGCAACGCCGCGUGAAGGAUGAAGGCCCUCGGGUCGUAAACUUCUGUCGAGAGGGAAGAACAGCGGACGGUCGAAUAGGCCGGUCGUUUGACGGUACCUCCAAAGGAAGCACCGGCUAACUCCGUGCCAGCAGCCGCGGUAAUACGGAGGGUGCAAGCGUUGUUCGGAUUUAUUGGGCGUAAAGCGAGUGUAGGCGGUUCGACAAGUCGGAUGUGAAAGCCCAGGGCCCAACCCUGGAACUGCACCCGAUACUGUCAGGCUAGAGUCCCGGAGAGGGUGGCGGAAUUCCCGGUGUAGGGGUGAAAUCCGUAGAUAUCGGGAGGAACACCAGUGGCGAAGGCGGCCACCUGGACGGUGACUGACGCUGAGACUCGAAAGCGUGGGUAGCAAACAGGAUUAGAUACCCGGGUAGUCC
rnacentral:rRNA from 1 species